UACGUAGGGGGCGAGCGUUGUCCGGAUUUAUUGGGCGUAAAGAGCUCGUAGGUGGUUUGGUAAGUCGGAUGUGAAAUCUCCAGGCUCAACCUGGAGGGGUCAUUCGAUACUGCCAUGACUAGAGUUCGGUAGGGGAGUGUGGAAUUCCUGGUGUAGCGGUGAAAUGCGCAGAUAUCAGGAGGAACACCGGUGGCGAAGGCGGUUCUCUGGGCCUGUACUGACGCUGAGGAGCGAAAGCGUGGGGAGCGAACAGG
rnacentral:rRNA from 1 species